AUGAGUUAGGGUCUUCUAGGCCCGACCUCCCAACCCUUUGUUUACUAAACCAUUGUUGCUUCGGCGAGCCCGUCCCCCGGGACCGCCGGGAGACCGUCAUAGGUUUCCUGGUCCGCGCUCGCCGAUAGCCUAAACCUCAAAUUCUUUAACUAAACGUGUCUUACCUGAGUACAAAAUUUAAUUAAAACA
rnacentral:misc_RNA from 1 species